rnacentral:rRNA from 1 species
GGCUCAGGAUGAACGCUGGCGGCGUGCUUAACACAUGCAAGUCGAACGGACGCUUUGGGAAACUGAAGCGUUAGUGGCAAACGGGUGCGUAACACGUGGGCGACCUACCCCAAAGUGGGGAACAACGGACCGAAAGGUUCGCUAAUACCGCAUUAGCUCAGUCCUUCAUCGGGUUGAGUAAAGCCGCAAGGCGCUUUGGGAGGGGCCCGCGGCCCAUCAGGUAGUUGGUGAGGUAAUGGCCCACCAAGCCGAUGACGGGUAGCUGGUCUGAGAGGACGAUCAGCCACACUGGCACUGAGAUACGGGCCAGACUCCUACGGGAGGCAGCAGUGAGGAAUAUUGCGCAAUGGGGGAGACCCUGACGCAGCGACGCCGCGUGGGCGACGAAGGCCUUCGGGUCGUAAAGCCCUUUUGGCAGGGACGAGUGAGGACGGUACCUGCCGAAUAAGUCUCGGCUAACUACGUGCCAGCAGCCGCGGUAAAACGUAGGAGGCGAGCGUUAUCCGGAUUCACUGGGCGUAAAGCGCACGUAGGCGGUUGGGUAAGUCGGACGUGAAAGCCCCUGGCUCAACUGGGGGAGGCCGUUCGAUACUGCCCGGCUUGAGGGUGAGAGAGGGAAGUGGAAUUCCCGGUGUAGCGGUGGAAUGCGUAGAGAUCGGGAGGAACACCAGUGGCGAAAGCGGCUUCCUGGCUCACUCCUGACGCUGAGAGCGCGAAAGCGUGGGGAGCAAACGGGAUUAGAUACCCCGGUAGUCCACGCUCUAAACGAUGAGGGCUAGGUGUUGGUGGGAUUUCCCAUCUGUGCCGAAGCAAACGCGUUAAGCCCUCCGCCUGGGGACUACGAACGCAAGUUUAAAACUC